CCAAGAAGUGAAUUUAGUCUAUAUUAAUAUGUAACUUUCUAUUUCCUAAAAUAAUAAAUAAAUAUUUUCUAAUAGUUGGUCAAAAAUUAGCCAAUUUGACUUCUCGAAAAGCAAAAAGGACAUGUAAAUUGAGACGGAUGGAGUAUUUUAACGGAAGUUAGCAAAGGGGGGUGCGUAUCGUUCUUGAAAUGUAAAAAUAGGUUGUGCGAUUUGAGUUUCCAAAAGUAUGGGCACAAUAUCGUUUUUGAACGUAAGUUAGGG
rnacentral:lncRNA from 1 species